rnacentral:rRNA from 1 species
UAAUUGAAGAGUUUGAUCAUGGCUCAGAUUGAACGCUGGCGGCAGGCCUAACACAUGCAAGUCGAGCGGUAGCACAGGGAGCUUGCUCCUGGGUGACGAGCGGCGGACGGGUGAGUAAUGUCUGGGAAACUGCCUGAUGGAGGGGGAUAACUACUGGAAACGGUAGCUAAUACCGCAUAACGUCUACGGACCAAAGUGGGGGACCUUCGGGCCUCAUGCCAUCAGAUGUGCCCAGAUGGGAUUAGCUAGUAGGUGGGGUAAUGGCUCACCUAGGCGACGAUCCCUAGCUGGUCUGAGAGGAUGACCAGCCACACUGGAACUGAGACACGGUCCAGACUCCUAC